CUUACGGGAGGCAGCAGUAGGGAAUCUUCCGCAAUGGACGAAAGUCUGACGGAGCAACGCCGCGUGAGUGAUGAAGGCUUUCGGGUCGUAAAACUCUGUUGUUAGGGAAGAACAAGUACGAGAGUAACUGCUCGUACUUUGACGGUACCUAACCAGAAAGCCACGGCUAACUACGUGCCAGCAGCCGCGGUAAUACGUAGGUGGCAAGCGUUAUCCGGAAUUAUUGGGCGUAAAGCGCGCGCAGGCGGUUUCUUAAGUCUGAUGUGAAAGCCCACGGCUCAACCGUGGAGGGUCAUUGGAAACUGGGGAACUUGAGUGCAGAAGAGAAAAGCGGAAUUCCACGUGUAGCGGUGAAAUGCGUAGAGAUGUGGAGGAACACCAGUGGCGAAGGCGGCUUUUUGGUCUGUAACUGACGCUGAGGCGCGAAAGCGUGGGGAGCAAACAGGAUUAGAUACCCUGGUAGUCCACGCCGUAAACGAUGAGUGCUAAGUGUUAGAGGGUUUCCGCCCUUUAGUGCUGCAGCUAACGCAUUAAGCACUCCGCCUGGGGAGUACGGUCGCAAGACUGAAACUCAAAGGAAUUGACGG
rnacentral:rRNA from 1 species